CGAGCUUGUCCUCCCCGUGCGAGGUCACACCCCCCACACCCACCUGGAGGAAUCCACGCCCCCCCACCCCGUCGGGGAUUGACAAAGCGCCUUCCUCCGCUGCGAGGUCGCUGCUCUCCAGCCCUCGGUGGUACCGAUGAGAGCGGGCGCGUGGUCGGCUGAGGCGCCGGCUGGCCUGCGCCUGGCAGUGCCCUGGCCACUUAGACCCCGAUUCCGGGCGACUUUCCUUCCCAGAGCGGCAGUAGCUUGAUGUCAGGGUUGCACUGACUGAAAACAGAGCUUAAUCCCCCACCUCCCCCAUCCCAAGAGCUCCUGGUCUAAUGGCAGAGACAGAGGAGACAGGCGUUCAAUACACACAGGGUCAGUUUGGCAGCCCUCUCUGUGUUCAAGAGGAGCAGUGGAUGUUUGGCACAGGCCCUGGGCUGUAUCUGUCCAUCUUCAACAUGACAAGGUCAAACAUGGGCUGUACAAGUCAUCUCAUGUCACCCGCACAGACAGAAAAUGACAGAAAAACAUUUGCUGCAAAUGAAGAAGCUUGCUCAGACAGCCAUUCAUAUCCACAGGAGACAUACCCCUGUGGCCACCUGUUGGGAUUCUGCGUGUCCUUCAAGGCCCAGCUGAAAUGAUACCUCACCAGAAGGCCAUCCCAGGCAGUGGAGUCCAAAUGCCUCUCACCUCUGCAGCCUGGAAUUAUCCAUCAGGGUAUUCUAAUCAGCCGCCACAAAUAUCUCUUAGAUGGCGCUGGACCACAGGAGCCCACGCUUGCUGACCAUUCCCACUGGGCAGCUCUAGCCCCCUCACAUCGCUUGGCCUCAAAUCUUCAUUCAGACAAGCUGUGGGCCGAUUACUGGACCUCUCUGAACCUCAGUGUCCCUAUGUGUAAAAUAAACUGAUGAUGAUACCUACUUUAUGGGACCUGGGAAGGAUGAAAUGAGGUACAAUGUCGCCAGAAAGACAGUAACUAUUAAGCAACUACACAGAGUAGUAGGUUUAUUGCAACC
rnacentral:lncRNA from 1 species